rnacentral:rRNA from 1 species
ACGAACGCUAGCGGCGUGCCUAAGAAAUGCAAGUCGAGCGAGGUUUAGUCUUCGGACGAAGGCCUAGCGGCGAACGGUCGCGUAACACGUAAGCAACCUGCCCUGAAGUGGGGGAUAGCCCUCCGAAAGGAGGAUUAAUACCGCAUGUGGACACUUUCGCGCAUGAGAGAGUGUCUAAAGCAGCGAUGCGCUUCAGGAUGGGCUUGCGGCCUAUCAGCUAGUUGGUGGGGUAAUGGCCUACCAAGGCGACGACGGGUAGCUGGUCUGAGAGGAUGGUCAGCCGGACUGGGACUGAGAUACGGCCCAGACUCCUACGGGGGGCAGCAAUUAGGAAUCUUGCGCAAUGGGCGAAAGCCUGACGCAGCGACGCCGCGUGACUGAUGAAGUCUUUCGGGAUGUAAAGGUCUUUUCUGGGGGAAGAAGGACGUGACGGUACCCCAGGAAUAAGCCCCGGCUAACUACGU